rnacentral:rRNA from 1 species
UACACUCCUACGGGAGGCAGCAGUGGGGAAUUUUGGACAAUGGGCGAAAGCCUGAUCCAGCAAUGCCGCGUGAGUGAAGAAGGCCUUCGGGUUGUAAAGCUCUUUUGUCAGGGAAGAAACGGUGAGAGCUAAUAUCUCUUGCUAAUGACGGUACCCGAAGAAUAAGCACCGGCUAACUACGUGCCAGCAGCCGCGGUAAUACGUAGGGUGCAAGCGUUAAUCGGAAUUACUGGGCGUAAAGCGUGCGCAGGCGGUUUUGUAAGUCUGAUGUGAAAUCCCCGGGCUCAACCUGGGAAUUGCAUUGGAGACUGCAAGGCUAGAAUCUGGCAGAGGGGGGUAGAAUUCCACGUGUAGCAGUGAAAUGCGUAGAUAUGUGGAGGAACACCGAUGGCGAAGGCAGCCCCCUGGGUCAAGAUUGACGCUCAUGCACGAAAGCGUGGGGAGCAAACAGGAUUAGAAACCCCUGUAGUCCCAU